rnacentral:misc_RNA from 1 species
GAUGAAGAACGCAGCGAAAUGCGAUAAGUAGUGUGAAUUGCAGAAUUCAAUGAAUCAUCGAAUCUUUGAACGCACAUUGCGGCCAUAGGUAUUCCUUUGGCCAUGCCUGUUCGAGCGUCAUUUACACCCUCAAGCCUAGCUUGGUGUUGGGCGCCUGUCCCGCCGUUUUCGCGCGCGGACUCGCCUCAAAGUCAUUGGCGGCGGUCGUGCCGGCCCCCUCGCGCAGCACAUUUGCGCUUCUCGGAGGCCCGGCGGAUCCGCGCUCCAGCAAGACCUUUCACGACUUGACCUCGGAUCAGGUAGGGAUACCCGCUGAACUUAAGCAUAUCAAUAAGCGGAGGA